rnacentral:rRNA from 1 species
ACGUAGGGGGCGAGCGUUGUCCGGAAUCACUGGGUGUAAAGGGUGCUCAGGCGGGUCGAUAAGUCAGAGGUGAAAUUUCACAGCUUAACUGUGAAUGUGCUUUUGAUACUGUCGGUCUAGAGUUCAGAAGAGGGCAAUGGAAUUCUUGGUGGGGCGGUUAAAUGUUUAGAUAUCAAGAAGCACACCCGUUGGGGUGGCGGUUGACUAGUCUGUAACUCACCCUCGAUCGCGAAAACGUGUGGAUCAAAAAG